GAUGAACGCUGGCGGCGUGCCUAAUACAUGCAAGUCGAGCGAACAGACGAGGAGCUUGCUCCUCUGACGUUAGCGGCGGACGGGUGAGUAACACGUGGAUAACCUACCUAUAAGACUGGGAUAACCUCGGGAAACCGGAGCUAACACCGGAUAAUAUAUUGAACCGCAUGGUUCAAUAGUGAAAGACGGUUUUGCUGUCACUUAUAGAUGGAUCCGCGCCGCAUUAUCUAGUUGGUAGGGUCACGGCUUACCAAGGCAACGAUGCGUCGCAGACCUGAGAGAGUGGUCGGCCGACCUGGAAGUGAGACACGGUCCAGAAUCCUAAGGGAGGCAGCAGUAGGGAAUCUUCGGCAAUAGGCGGAAACAUGGCGGAGCAACGCCGCGUGAGUGACGAAGGUGUUCGGAUCGUAAAACUGUGUUAUUAGGGAGGAACAAAUGUGUCAGUAACUAUGCACGUGUUGACGGUAACGGGUCAGAAAGCGACGGCUAACUACGUG
rnacentral:rRNA from 1 species